rnacentral:pre_miRNA from 1 species
CUUGUACUCCCUCCGUCCGAAAAUACUUGUCAUUGAAAUGGAUGUAUCUAGAUGUAUUUUAGUUCUAGACACAUCCAUUUUGAUGACAAGUAAUUCCGGACGGAGGGAGUACAUG